rnacentral:rRNA from 1 species
GUAGCGGCGAGCGAACGCGGAUUAGCCCAAACCAAUAAAGUUUUCUUUAUUGGGGUUGCGGACAUAUCAUAACGAAGAGAUAUCGUAAUUGAAGAGGUUUGGAAAGACCCACCACAGAAGGUAAUAGGCCUGUAUGUUAAACGAGAAGACUUUAGAUAUGAUCCAGAGUACCACGGGACACGUGAAACCCUGUGGGAAGCAGGAGGG